AUGUCUUUUCAGAGAGAACUUAUGGGACCAAAACCAGAAGCUCUUAACACUGUGACCUAAGAUUGAAGUUCUCCAUAGGAUAAUAGACACUCAAUAGUGCUGUUUUCCUGAGGAGAUACUGUA